rnacentral:rRNA from 1 species
CCUACGGGAGGCAGCAGUGGGGAAUUUUGGACAAUGGGGGCAACCCUGAUCCAGCCAUGCCGCGUGUGUGAAGAAGGCCUUCGGGUUGUAAAGCACUUUCGGACGGAACGAAAUCGCACGGGUGAAUAUCCCGUGUGGAUGACGGUACCUGUAAGAAGAAGCACCGGCUAACUACGUGCCAGCAGCCGCGGUAAUACGUAGGGUGCGAGCGUUAAUCGGAAUUACUGGGCGUAAAGCGUGCGCAAGGCGGCUUUGCAAGUCAGACGUGAAAUCCCCGGGCUUAACCUGGGAAUGGCGUUUGAAACUACGGAGCUGGAGUGUGGCAGAGGGGGGUAGAAUUCCACGUGUAGCAGUGAAAUGCGUAGAUAUGUGGAGGAAUACCGAUGGCGAAGGCAGCCCCCUGGGCCAACACUGACGCGUCAUGCACGAAAGCGUGGGGAGCAAACAGGAUUAGAUACCCUGGUAGUCCACGGCCCUAAACUAUGUCAACUAGUUGUGGGGUACUUAACUCCUUAGUACGCACGACGUACGUACGUGAGU